UGGGGAAUAUUGGACAAUGGGGGCAACCCUGAUCCAGCGAUGCCGCGUGUGUGAAGAAGGCCUGCGGGUUGUAAAGCACUUUAGUUGGGGAGGAAAGGUAUGUACUGCAUAAGUGCAUGCUGUGACGUUACCCAAAGAAUAAGCACCGGCAAACUCUGUGCCAGCAGCCGCGGUAAUACAGAGGGUGCAAGCGUUAAUCGGACUUACUGGGCGUAAAGCGUGCGCAGGCGGUUGUGUAAGUCAGAUGUGAAAUCCCCGGGCUCAACCUGGGAAUUGCAUUUGAGACUGCACGGCUAGAGUGUGUCAGAGGGGGGUAGAAUUCCACGUGUAGCAGUGAAAUGCGUAGAUAUGUGGAGGAAUACCGAUGGCGAAGGCAGCCCCCUGGGAUAACACUGACGCUCAUGCACGAAAGCGUGGGGAGCAAACAGGAUUAGAUACCCCCGUAGUCCCUGAGCGGGCUGGCAAGGCGCAU
rnacentral:rRNA from 1 species